GAGCGGAUGACGGGAGCCUGCUCCUUGAUUCAGCGGCGGACGGGUGAGUAAUGCCUAGGAAUCUGCCUGGUAGUGGGGGACAACGUUUCGAAAGGAACGCUAAUACCGCAUACGUCCUACGGGAGAAAGCAGGGGACCUUCGGGCCUUGCGCUAUCAGAUGAGCCUAGGUCGGAUUAGCUAGUUGGUGGGGUAAUGGCUCACCAAGGCGACGAUCCGUAACUGGUCUGAGAGGAUGAUCAGUCACACUGGAACUGAGACACGGUCCAGACUCCUACGGGAGGCAGCAGUGGGGAAUAUUGGACAAUGGGCGAAAGCCUGAUCCAGCCAUGCUGCGUGUGUGAAGAAGGUCUUCGGAUUGUAAAGCACUUUAAGUUGGGAGGAAGGGCAGUAAGCUAAUACCUUGCUGUUUUGACGUUACCGACAGAAUAAGCACCGGCUAACUCUGUG
rnacentral:rRNA from 1 species